AAAAAGAUCUUUUCCCAAACCACCUACAUCCCACUGGACUACCGUUCAAGUGAAACUGCCCCUGUCCAUUUCUCCUGGACAUGAUGCUCAGACUGUCCAAACUGGAGGCCCUUUCUGCCAGGCCCUGGACUCCCAACUUGGAUGGACAUGUACAACGAGUUAAAACAAUAAAAAGCUUUUCUGUAA